rnacentral:tRNA from 1 species
GCCGGCGUAGCUCGGUUGGUUAGAGCGUGGGACUCAUAAACCCAAGGUUGGAGGUUCGAUUCCUCCCGCCGGCA